AUUGAACGCUGGCGGCAGGCCUAACACAUGCAAGUCGAGCGAGCGGCGGACAGGGUAGUAAUGGCUGGGAAACUGCCUGAUGGAGGGGGAUAACUACGGGAAACGGUAGCUAAUACCGCAUACCAUCAGAUGUGCCCAGAGGGGAUUAGCGAGUAGGUGGGGUAACGGCGCCCCUAGGCGACGAUCCCUAGCUGUACUGAGAGGAUGACCAGCCACACGGGAACUGAGACACGGUCCAGACUCCUACGGGAGGCAGCAGUGGGGAAUAUUGCCAAAUGGGCGCAAGCCUGAUGCAGCCAUGCCGCGGGGAUGAAGAAGGCCUUCGGGUUGUAAAGUACUUUCAGCGGGGAGGCGGUACCCGCAGAAGAAGCACCGGCUAACUCCGUGCCAGCAGCCGCGGUAAUUC
rnacentral:rRNA from 1 species